CAUCGUCACUCAGCCCACCCACAGACGAGUCCUCUGUCCUCCAGCUAGUUAUUUUCCGCACACGUAUAAAUCCCCACACCACCCUUCGGUCUCCUGUCGCGGCUGCCCAUAGCUGUUUACUGUGGACACAUCAAACAGAUAGCUGUAAGAGAAAGAGAAGCAACCUCUACGGAUCGGAGCAAGAUGAAGGAGGGCACGGCGAACUGCGUCGACAUCCUCAUCGCCAUCAUCCUGCCCCCUCUCGGCGUCUUCCUCAAGUUCGGCUGCAAGGUCGAGUUCUGGCUCUGCCUCUUGCUCACCUUCCUCGGCUAUCUUCCGGGGAUCAUCUACGCGAUCUACGCCAUCACCAAGGAAUAGCAUGGAAACAGAGCAACCAUUCAGGAGAAGGAACCGCGCAGGAUGUAAAAUUCUUGAUUACCGGAAGCCUUUUGAUUUGGAGAUUGAUUGUCAGCUGUCAAUAAGCUACUACUAAUUGAGCUUUAGUUUCUUGCUUCGUGUCCAUGGAUCGGUCUGAUUAUUUGUGGAUCUUAUGACGAUAUAGAUUGUCGCGUGAAAAAUUCCUGCCAAUUGGUGCUUUUUUGUAUGUAAGCAGUGGACUGUGCAAAUUUGUCUGAAAAGGUAAUAAAUAAUUUACAUUGCCUGGUGAAAAAUUCCUGCCAA